GAGAACAAAGGCACGCCCCAGGUGCUCACGGCCAAUAAGACGACGAGGAGGCCGAUCACGUUGGCACCCAGUCCUGCCUUCACCUGGAAGCACGGGCCAUCAUGGAGGUCAAGUGUCCGUAGGCGAAAACCACGGCGUUGGGAGGAUUGGACGCCGGCAGCAGGAAGGAGAAGGACGUGCACAACGUGGCCGGGAUCAAUACCGACAAGGGGUUGACGCGAAUGCCUUCGGCCUGCACGGCGCGGACAGGAGAAGACACAUGAAAAGAGGCGAGAGGAUGGGCAGGAAGAUGGUGAUGGUGGUGGCGUUGCUGGCCAGCUCGGUUACCAUGGUGACGAUGAUGCAAGCUACAGCCACAGUGGCCAGUGGGGGGAGAUCGCCGAGAGGGGACAGUAGCUCUGACACCCACCGGGACAAACCGGACUCCUAGACAACACGCGCACACACACACGCAGGCACACUUCAUUAGCGACACCAAAAUAUCAUUUCAUAUCAAUGUGUGUGUGUGUGUGUGUGUGUGUG